AAAACGACUCUCGGCAACGGAUAUCUCGGCUCUUGCAUCGAUGAAGAACGUAGCGAACUGCGAUACUUGGUGUGAAUUGCAGAAUCCCGUGAACCAUCGAGUAUUUGAACGCAAGUUGCGCCCGAAGCCAUUAGGCCGAGGGCACGCCUGCCUGGGUGUCACGC
rnacentral:rRNA from 1 species